CAAUCACCGUGCUCUCUUAAAACUUUUGUCAUUGAGCAGGAGAAAAAUAUAGAGUCAUUUCCUGAGAUAGGGCUUCUGCCAAGCUCUCUUACCUCUCUGUAUAUCUUUAAUUUUGAGAAUCUGACAUCCCUGAACUCCAAAGGGCUUCAUAGCCUGAGCUCCCUUGAAAAAUUGUUCAUUGGCGAAUGUCCUAAGCUCCAUUCCUUCCCAAAAGAGGAACAGAUUCUGCCUGCUUCUCUUACCACUCUGUUGAUUUAUGAUAUGGAUCUAAAAUCACUGGACAACUUAGGGCUCCACCACCUCACUUGUCUCAAAACCUUUCACAUAAUUGACUGUCGAAGUCUUCGAUCCAUGCCAGCAGAGGGCUUGUCAUCCUCCCUUUCCAAUCUAUUUAUCUAUGGGUGUCCUUUUCUGGAGAAAAGAUGCCAACGCAAGAAAGGGAAAGAUUGGCCCCUAGUUUCUUACAUUCGCUGCAUCGUGAUUGAAGAUGUGCUCAUCACAUGAUUGAAUAUCUUGCUUUACAAGCCCUGCAUUUACCAAGAUCUCACUAGGGUCGAACUUGGGCUCUCUCUUGACGAUCUCCUAUGUAGUGAUAGUGGGUUUCUACUAAGCGUUACCUAUAGUGGAUGUCGGAUGCAGCUUUGGAUGGACCUAUUCUUCUCCCACAAUAUCGAGAUAGUUUUAGUAACAGGGUUGUGGUGAGGAAAAAAAAAUGGUGCUAAGUCUUCACAAGACAAGUGGAUUAUGAGGAUCGGGAGCAGCAUUGGCAAUGAGAUGGUGGAAAUCGGCAAGGAAAGCAAAUCCAUUUUUCAUGCGGUCAGUAAGCCAAGUUAUCGACUCCUGAAAACGAAAGAAUCAAGGUCAAUUUAGAAGUUUCGAAAUUUCAUUGUUGGUUUGCAGCUUGCAAGAAAUUGUUUCUCAAUGAGCGCAAGUGCAAGAGAGGCACUCCAAUGCGAUUGCAACGUUUAGUGUAACAGAGCGACACACCAUGUGAGAAGUACUCGCCUAAUGGUUUGGCUGAAUUGUCGCUUUUGCAAGCUGAUACUUGUAGUGAAGAAACAACAAAUCAUUCAAGGUGAAACGGAGCCAACGCAUGAUCUGUAGUUGUCCAUCCCAGGUGUUCAAUGUUGUAGCAUUGGAAGAAAGCAUCAUAUCUGAAACUGAUGAUGGGCAUCAGAUGAGUGGGUUAUGGAGAGAUUGUUUGAUACAGCUUUUCGAUGGUAGCUGCGAUCGUAAAACUGGAUGCUUCUGCUUUCGCAA